rnacentral:rRNA from 1 species
CCUAGUUGAUCCUGCCAGUAGUCAUAUGCUUGUCUCAAAGAUUAAGCCAUGCAUGUGUAAGUAUGAACUAUUUCAGACUGUGAAACUGCGAAUGGCUCAUUAAAUCAGUUAUAGUUUGUUUGAUGGUACGUGCUACUCGGAUAACCAUAGUAAUUCUGAGCUAAUCGUGCAACAAAACCCCGACUUCGAAAGGGAUGCAUUUAUUAGAUAAAAAAGGCUGGCGUGGGCUUAGCCCGCUGCUCCGAUGAUUCAUGAUAACUUCGACGGAUCGCACGCCCCUCGUGCCGACGACGACGCAUCAUUCAAAUUUCUGCCCUAUCAACUUUCGAUGGUAGGAUAGGGGCCUACCAUGGUGGUGACGGGUGACGAAGAUUUAGGGUUCGAUUACGGAGAGGGAGCCCGAGAAACGGCUACCACAUCCAAGGAAGGCAGCAGUAGCAAAAAUUACCCAAUCCCCACACGGGGGAGGUAGUGACAAUAAAUAACAAUACCGGGCUCUUCGAGUCAGGUAAUUGGAAUGAGUACAAUCUAAAUCCCUUUAACGAGGAUCCAUUGGAGGCAAGUCCGGUGCCGGCAGCCGCUUGAUAAUUCCAGCUCCAAUAGCAUAUAUUUAAGUUGUUGCAGUUAAAAAGCUCGUAGUUGGACUUUGGGGCCGGGUCGGUCGGUCCGCCUCGCGGUGUGCACGGUCGUCCCAUCCCUUCUGUCGGCGAUCGUGCCUGGCCUUAAUCGGGCUGGGUGGCUGCCUCGUUGUUACUUUGAAGAAAUUAGAGUGCUCAAAAGCAGCCCCACGCUCUGGAUACAUUAGCAUGGGAUAACAUCACAAGAUUUCGGUCCUAUUGUGUUGGCCUUCGGGAUCGGAGUAAUGAUUAAGAGGGACAAUCGGGGCAUUCAGAUUUCAUAGUCGAGGUGAAAUUCUUGGAUUUAUGAAAGACGAACCACUGUGAAAAGAAUUUUCCAAGGAUGUUUUCAUUAAUCAAGAACGAAAGUUGGGGGCUCGAAGACGAUCGAUACCCGCCCUAGUCUCAACCAUAAACGAUGCCGACCCGGGGAUCGGCGGAUGUUGCUCUUAGGACUCCGCCGGCACCUUAUGAGAAAUCAAAGUCUUUGGGUUCCGAGGGGAGUAUGGUCGCAAGGCUAAAACUUAAAGGAAUUGACUAAGGGCACCACCAGAGUGGAGCCUGCAAGGGCUUAAUUUGACUCAACACGGGAAACUUACCGGUCCGGACAUAGCAAGGAUUGACAGACCGAGAGCUCUUUCUUGAUUCUAUGGGUGGUGGUGCAUGGCCGUUCUUAGUUGGUGGAGCCAUUUGUCCGGUUAAUUCGAUAAAGAACGAGACCUCACCUGCUAACUAGCUACGAGGAGGCAUCCCUCCGCGGCCAGCUUCUUAGAGGGACUAUGGCCGUUUAGGCCACGGAAGUUUGAGGCAAUAACAGGUCUGUGAUGCCCUUAGAUGUUCUGGGCCGCACGCGCCCUACACUGAUGUAUUCAACGAGUCUAUAGCCUUGGCCGACAGGCCCAGUAAUCUUUGAAAAUUUCAUCGUGAUGGGGAUUGAUCAUUGCAAUUGUUGGUCUUCAAUGAGGAAUUCCUAGUAAGCGUGAGUCAUCAGCUCGCGUUGACUACGUCCCUGCCCUUUGUACACACCGCCCGUCGCUCCUACCGAUUGAAUGGUCCGGUGAAGUGUUCGGAUCAAGGAGACGGGGGCGGUUCGCUGCCCACGACGUCACGAGAAGUCCACUGAACCUUAUCAUUUAGAGGAAGGAGAAGUCGAAACAAGGUUUCCGUAGGUGAACCUGCGGAAG